rnacentral:rRNA from 1 species
AUUGAACGCUGGCGGCAGGCCUAACACAUGCAAGUCGAACGGUAACAGGAAGCAGCUUGCUGCUUCGCUGACGAGUGGCGGACGGGUGAGUAAUGUCUGGGAAGCUGCCUGAUGGGGGGGGAUAACUACUGGAAACGGUAGCUAAUACCGCAUAAUGUCGCAGGACCAAAGAGGGGGACCUUCGGGCCUCUUGCCAUCGGAUGUGCCCAGAUGGGAUUAGCUUGUUGGUGGGGUAACGGCUCACCAAGGCGACGAUCCCUAGCUGGUCUGAGAGGAUGACCAGCCACACUGGAACUGAGACACGGUCCAGACUCCUACGGGAGGCAGCAGUGGGGAAUAUUGCACAAUGGGCGCAAGCCUGAUGCAGCCAUGCCGCGUGUAUGAAGAAGGCCUUCGGGUUGUAAAGUACUUUCAGCGGGGAGGAAGGGAGUAAAGUUAAUACCUUUGCUCAUUGACGUUACCCGCAGAAGAAGCACCGGCUAACUCCGUG